GUAGCUGGGACUACAGGUGCGUGCCACCGUGCCUGGCUAAUUUUUGUAUUAUUAGUAGAGAUGGGGUUUCACCAUAUUGGAUAGGCUGGUCUCGAACACCUGACCUCAUGAUCCGCCCAUCUCAGCCUCCCAAAGUGCUGGGAUUACAGGUGUGAGCCACCGUGCCUGGCCAGAAAAUUUUAAAAGAUCCUUUUUCAGACUAGUUUCUUCUCUCUCAGCACCUGUUGAUGUGGGGUCCCUGAAACCUUAAGGACAAGACUGAGAUCAUAUGUGCAAAUCACCAAUAUGGUUUGGCCUUGGGUGGUUUGUCCAACUGCCUCCAUUUUAGUUUUUGCCAAGAUGUUUAAGAAUAUCCUAAGCAACGGCACCUAAGGGAAAUGGUGAAUUCAAAGAUAUUGAAGCUAUUUUGAAGCCCAGUGGUGGAGAAAGGUCUGAAUAAAGCAAAGGAACAUGCUGUGAGCCAACCAAGGACAGCCUGACUCCAGAAGAUACAUUCUUCCGAAAUAAGACAUAAAGCCUUUUGUCCAGUAACACGAUCAAGGCUACUCUGCAUACAGGUUUGGAAAGUUCUCCAAACAUAUCGGGUUUGUGAAACAAUGUGUGGAACAGCGUGCAGAGAGCACAGUCACUUCUGCAUGUGCACACACAUCCUGCUUAUAAACACGUAGACUCUCUGUAAGGACACACAAGAACCAGCAAGCAGUGGCUGUCUUCAAGGUGGGAAACUGGGAGGCUGGGUAAAGGGAGUGAGGCUGAGUUUUACUAUAUGUCUUUUUGUACUUUCUUCUUCUUUUUUUUUUUUUGAGACAGAGUCUUGCUCUGUGGCCUAGGCUGGAGUGCAGUGGCACAAUCUCGGCUCCCUGCAGCCUCCGCCUCGUGGGUUCAAGCAACUCUCCUGCCUCAGCCUCCCAAGUAGCUGGGAUUACAGGCGUGUGCACCACACCCGGCUAAUUUUUGUAUUUUCAGUAACAACGGGGUUUCACCAUGUUGGCCAGACUGGUCUUGAA
rnacentral:lncRNA from 1 species